AAUUGUUUAAUUAUGGCAAUAGAAAGUUUAUCCUUUAUUAUCUGCAUAAAUAAAUUUUGGAUGUUGUGUUAAGAUUGUUAAGUUUUUGUAAUUAGCAGUUAGUUUUUUGUUAAAAUUUGUGUUUUAAAAGAAUAAAGGGUAUGAAGGGGAUAGGACACAGUGCCAGCAUCUGCGGUUAGUCUGUUUUCUUUGCUUUUUAGUAGAGGUGGUUAAAUUAUUAAUAAGUAAAAUUGGGUUAAAUUUGUUUAUUAAAUUUUUAAGUAAUUUAUUCUAAAUAAAGUGGAUUUUAUGACAGGGAUUAGAUACCCCAUUAAUACUAUUAAUAAUAUGUCUUAGUUUUAUAACUAAAAUAAUUUGGCAGUGAGCGAUUCUUUUUAGGGGAAGGUGUGGUGUAAAGGAUGAUCCGCCUAAUAAUUUACUUUUAUUAUAUUGGUGUAUAUCUGGUUUAAUAUUAUUGCUGAAUGGCAGAAGUUGUGUAGUGUUAUUUAAGCCAAGUCUAUGUGCUGUUUAUAAAAGUAUUCAUGCGUUACAUUAAUAAGUAUUUAAUUGUAAUAUUAGAUGAUUUAGGACUUAAAAGUAAUGUUUAAUUAAUUAGUAAAUGUGAAAUAAGUUUAGCUCAGGUACACACCGCCCGUCACCCUCGAUUAUUAUUGAGGUAAGUCGUAACAAGGUAACUUUAAAUGAAUUUGAAGUUGGUUACUGGUUAAUAAAUUUAAUCAGUUGAA
rnacentral:rRNA from 1 species